rnacentral:rRNA from 1 species
UACGGAGGGUGCAAGCGUUAUCCGGAUUCACUGGGUUUAAAGGGAGCGUAGGUGGGCUGGUAAGUCAGUGGUGAAAUCUCCGGGCUUAACUCGGAAACUGCCGUUGAUACUAUCAAUCUUGAAUACCGUGGAGGUCAGCGGAAUAUGUCAUGUAGCGGUGAAAUGCUUAGAUAUGACAUAGAACACCAAUUGCGAAGGCAGCUGGCUACACGAAUAUUGACACUGAUGCACGAAAGCGUGGGGAUCAAACAGG